rnacentral:rRNA from 1 species
AGUGAACGCUGGCGGUAGGCCUAACACAUGCAAGUCGAACGGCAGCACAGUAAGAGCUUGCUCUUACGGGUGGCGAGUGGCGGACGGGUGAGGAAUACAUCGGAAUCUACUUUUUCGUGGGGGAUAACGUAGGGAAACUUACGCUAAUACCGCAUACGACCUACGGGUGAAAGCAUGGGAUCUUCUGACCUUGCGCGAUUGAAUGAGCCGAUGUCGGAUUAGCUAGUUGGCGGGUUAAAGGCCCACCAAGGCGACGAUCCGUAGCUGGUCUGAGAGGAUGAUCAGACACACUGGAACUGAGACAAGGUCCAGACUCCUACGGGAGGCAGCAGUGGGGAAUAUUGGACAAUGGGCGCAAGCAUGAUACAGCCAUACCGCGUGGGUGAAGAAGGCCUUCGGGUUGUAAAGCCCUUUUGUUGGGAAAGAAAAGCAGCAGGUUAAUACCCCGCUGUUCUGACGGUACCCAAAGAAUAAGCACCGGCUAACUUCGUG